rnacentral:rRNA from 1 species
AGAAUCAACGCUGGCGGCGUGCCUCAGACAUGCAAGUCGAACGAGAAAGUCCCCUUCGGGGGAUAAGUAAAGUGGCGCACGGGUGGGUAACACGUAGGUAAUCUACCUUCGGGUGGGGAAUAACCCAGGGAAACUUGGGCUAACACCGCAUAAUGCAGCGGCACCACAUGGUGACAGUUGUUAAAGCGGGGGAUUUUCGGACCUCGCGCCUGAAGAGAAGCCUGCGGCAGAUUAGCUAGUUGGUAAGGUAAUGGCUUACCAAGGCGACGAUCU